rnacentral:rRNA from 1 species
UAUGUAGGGUGCGAGCGUUAAUCGGAAUUACUGGGCGUAAAGCGUGCGCAGGCGGCUUUGCAAGACAGAUGUGAAAUCCCCGGGCUCAACCUGGGAACUGCAUUUGUGACUGCAAGGCUAGAGUACGGCAGAGGGGGAUGGAAUUCCGCGUGUAGCAGUGAAAUGCGUAGAUAUGCGGAGGAACACCAAUGGCGAAGGCAAUCCCCUGGGCCUGUACUGACGCUCAUGCACGAAAGCGUGGGGAGCAAACAGG